GCCGCCGUAGCUCAGCACGGUCAGAGCGCCGGCCUCGUAACAGCCGGUGGUCCCGGGUUCAAAUCCCGGCGGCG
rnacentral:tRNA from 1 species